rnacentral:misc_RNA from 1 species
GAUGAAGAACGUAGGGAAAUGCGAUAAGUAAUGUGAAUUGCAGAACUCAGUGAAUCAUCGAAUCUUUGAACGCACAUUGCGCCCGCCAGUAUUCUGGCGGGCAUGCCUGUUCGAGCGUCAUUUCAACCCUCAGGCCCCCAGUGCCUGGUGUUGGGGAUCGGCCCAGCCUUCCUGUAAGGCCGCCGGCCCCGAAAUCUAGUGGCGGUCUCGCUGUAGUCCUCCUCUGCGUAGUAGCACAACCUCGCAGUUGGAACGCGGCGGUGGCCAUGCCGUUAAACACCCCACUUCUGAAAGUUGACCUCGGAUCAGGUAGGAAUACCCGCUGAACUUAAGCAUAUCAAUAAGCGGAGGA